rnacentral:antisense_RNA from 1 species
CGCAGACGCGUGGGGCCCGCAUGUACCCAAGACAGGAAAACUUCACGUUGGCCUGGAAAGUUCGUCCAGGCUAAGCCUGACUCUUCACCAGACACUGCAGCACGAAGGCCCGUCUGCCUUUUGGCUCGCCCUGGCCCAGAAUGCACACCAGCCGGCAAGAGAAAGAAGCCCACUGCAAUAUACUGUGAAGAAUACAUAAGAAGUCAAACUGUUGACCUCUUUUCCCCCAGCCCGUUCCAAAACUACAUCCCUAAGGAGUUGUGCACCUCUAGGGAAAGUUCAGAUGAAAGAGCUAAUUCCCAUUGAUCUCUCUUCUUGUUCGGAGUGGAGGAAAAACAUAUACCGUCCCUUCCAUCAAUCCUCAGCGUAACUUUUCCAGGGACACUGGUAACAAGCUACUUUUACCUCAGAAGUUGGAGAGUGUCAGUUGACUCACAUUGUGUAUGUGUAAAUAUCUUUAUUCAAUGUAUAUACAAUGUAUUCUUAAUUUGACUCUCAAA